rnacentral:rRNA from 1 species
CUUCGGCCCGUAAACCCCUCGUCAUUUGCGAACAAAUUAAUCCGCUUAACACGUGGAUUAUUGAUUGUAGUAGAAGAGGAAGGGACGGCUAACUCUGUGC